rnacentral:rRNA from 1 species
GACGAACGCUGACGGUGUGCUUUAGACAUGCAAGUCGAACGCGAAAGCCCUUCGGGGUUAGUAGAGUGGCGAACGGGUGAGUAACACGUGGGCAAUCUGCCCCUCGCAGGGGGACGAACCGGAGGGAAACUACCGGCUAAUACCCCGUACCGCUUGUGGGAUCGCAUGAUCUCACAAGGAAAGGUAGCUUCGGCCAUCCGGCGAGGGAUGAGCCCGCGGUGCAUUAG